rnacentral:misc_RNA from 1 species
GAUGAGAACGUAGCGAAAUGCGAUAAGUAAUGUGAAUUGCAGAAUUCAGUGAAUCAUCGAAUCUUUGAACGCACAUUGCGCCCCUUGGUAUUCCGAGGGGCAUGCCUGUUCGAGCGUCAUUAUAACCCCUCAGGCUCAGCUUGGUGUUGGGGCCUGCUGCACUGGCAGCCCUUAAAAUCAGUGGCGGCGCCAUCUGGCUCUAAGCGUAGUAAUUCUUCUCGCUAUGGAGUCCUGGUGGAUGCUUGCCAUCAACCCCCAAUUUUUCUAUGGUUGACCUCGGAUCAGGUAGGGAUACCCGCUGAACUUAAGCAUAUCAAUAAGCGGAGGA